CUCUGAGAGAGGGGAUGAGGAGCAGCUUCUUGCAGUGUGUAAAGAGCUGGCAGAGUAAUUAUUGAAGGUUCAAGGAUUGUAAGAGUUUCAUCCUUAAGAGCUGAAUAAACUGUCAUUUCACAUGAUGUUGAAGAAACAGAAAAAGGAAUGUCAAUCUUUUCCUCACUCCACAGAUCUUAGGGCUGAUUUCCUCCAGUUACAGAUAUGAUCCACAGAUACUGAAAAACACUAUUGUGAUGCUGGAUGAAAAUCAGGCAUGUGAAAAUAUGAAAAUGUCUGCUCUUCACUGAAGAUAUUUUCCCAUGUUUGUUUCAGCCUCCUCCAUACUAAUACUAAUUAGUCUCUAAAUGAAUGAACCUGGUGACUGAGCUUGCAGCCGUAUAAGCAAAGGUCUGGACAUCCUUGGACAUCCUUGUGCCCCUCUGCUGCCCAGAGCCUGCUGGGUUUUCCAUGUCUGUAUCCAGAACCACAGCAGAGAAUCACUGCAUUCCACUGCUUUCAGCUUAUUGCACCACAGCUGAUUCUGUUUUCAAAAAUUCAGUUCAGGUGAUGCAUCAGGAAACUCCGGGUUUUUUUCUGUGAAGAAACCUUCCAGCUGUAUAUCACCUCAAUUAAGCAGCUCUGAAGCUCUUAUCUUAAUCCCUGCACUGAUAAAACAGUAAUUGUUCUGCAAGACUACAAGGGGAACCGUGACUCCAGAAAGGACAUGGUGUUCCAAUUGAUCUCAAUUACUCUAAUGUAACUAAUUCUUUUGUCCACCAUCUAAAUUUAAUGCUUCUGCCUCCCUGAGGAUUUGUCACAAGAUCUCCCACAUUAUUGGGUUUGUGCUGACCUGUCACUGCCUAGUCUGCAUUCUCAACCAAGCCAAAAUAAUUGCCUUCAUUUACCUGACAAGUCUUUUGAGCCCUCAAUUCAUCACAGUGUUUUAAGUGUUUCAAUUAGUUACACUAAUGAAUCAUUAACUCAGUGUGCCUUCAAAAGGCCAGAUUUUACCUUCUACCUGGUUAUGGGGGAUUUUAACAGAGACAUAAAAAGCUAAACUUCUGCUCUGAGUGAGCACUAUUGACUCAUAACUCAUUAAGAUUUUAUUUUGGCAUCUCCAGCCUUCAGCAGGGUUGCUUGACGUGUAUCAUGAAGAAAAUAAAAAUUUGACCAUCAGCUUAAAUUGUCCUGAUAAAGUAAAAGCUUGCCUAAUGGCAACUAGUUUGUUCUUUUCUAUUUGCAGUGUAUCAGACAA